UACGGAGGGUGCAAGCGUUAUCCGGAUUUACUGGGUUUAAAGGGUGUGUAGGCGGAUAUUUAAGUCAGAGGUGAAAUCUCCGAGCUCAACUCGGAAACUGCCUUUGAUACUAUUUAUCUUGAAUUUCGUUGAGGUUGGCGGAAUAUAUCAUGUAGCGGUGAAAUGCAUAGAUAUGAUAUAGAACACCGAUUGCGUAGGCA
rnacentral:rRNA from 1 species